GUUCUGCGCCCAGAAGCACGGGGUUUAGAGGCUGGAAAAAGUGAUUAAGUACGCGGGCCUCUCACCGCUGCGGCCUCUCCCGCUGCGGAGCACAGGCUCCGGACGCGCAGGCUCAGCUGCCAUGGCUCACGGGCCCAGCCGCUCCGCGGCACGUGGGAUCCUCCCAGACCGGGGCACGAACCCGCGUCCCCUGCACCGGCAGGGGGACUCUCAACCACUGCGCCACCAGGGAAGCCCUACUAAAAAGAAGAAAAGUAGAAAAAGGAGAUAAUGAAGAAACAGCCAUUAUUCAGUCAUUCUUCUGCAGCUUUACCUGAAAGGAGAAUUGCUUCUAUGUGAUUCAUUACAAGAUACCAACAGCAUCAGCCAUGCUGACUCCUUGCUCUUCCUGUGGCACACCAGAUUUACUCCCCCUUCAAAACUUUUGCAUCUAAAGGAGUAAACAAAAUGUUUUCUUCACAUCAGGUUCAACAAAACCUUGAACAGGAAAUUUGGACACACUGAGAGAAACCAAGGAUGUGCCAGCACAGAGGGAUGACCAUGUGAUGAUUCAGCAAGAGAGUGGCCGUCUGCAAGGCAAGAAGAGAGGCCUCAGGAGAAACCAAACCUGCCAGCACCUACAUCUUGGACUUCCAGCCUCCAGAACUUUGUGUGCUUAAUAAUGCAAGUGAUGGAGCAUUUUACUGAGUCUGGGCAGAGAUUUCAGCAUUCUCUAAAGAAAACUUACACCUAAAAACACUGCUUUACUGAUACGACACCCAAGAUUCUAAGCUGACAUCAAAGCAAAAAGAAAAAAAAGAUCAUCUGAAAUGACAGCAGCAGCUGCAGCAUCCGCCUCUAAAUUAGGCUGUGUUUCAAAGUCUGGACUCAACUGCUAAGCAGUAUAAAGACCCAGGAGGAAGGCUGCCCAGAAAAGAGUGAGGCUUCCGACCUAACACAUCAAAGUAACACAUGCUAGGAAGAGCAAUAAACGCAUGUGUCCCACAUUCACGUGCUGCCUAAUUGCAUUGGGCUCAUGAAACCAAGACAAACCUUCAGCUGAUUCCUGGUUUAAGAGAGGAUUUGAGAUCUUUUCUAUGCGGAAAGCUGACACAAAUUGGUUGCAGAUUAGAGUCUGACUCCGUAACGAAGCAUCCCAUAAUUUCAAAAGAUGGUCAUUUCAGUGUCAUAUGGCAUCUUCAAAACACUGACUUCUUAAUGAAGUAACAUAUAAACUAACCAUUAGGUAUAAAUAAAAGUUAAAAAAUAAGCUUCAUAAAUGAAGCAAGCCUUAAUUUGUACAUUCAGGGAUAGAUGCUUUGAGGAAAGGCUUUUUCGUUUGUUUUGCAUAUAAACUACCAAUUUUGAGGGCAUUUAUCUUCUAAAGCAUAAGCUAUUUAACGAGAACUUAGAAUACUAAUAUCUCUUAAGAGAGGAGAGAAAUAGUUAGAUGUUUUAGAUGUAAUUUUUAGCAGAAAUGCUUACUGCCAUAAGGUCUGCAUUAAGGGAUCAUUACUAUAUAUAGACGAUGUAAUAUAUUUAGUAGCACAAUUUGCAAUUAGAUAUAUAGCAACACACAUAAGCUUAAUACAUUAGAGCUCUGAAUUCUUUUAUUCUGUGUUCAUACCCUUUAUGCUCUUUAUUUUGCAGCACAAUGCCCUAUUAUUCUGCAAAAUACUCUUCUGUAUGUGUGAAUUGCUAAAGUUAACUUACACAAUUACCUGAGGAGACUUUAAUUAUAAUUAGUGGAAGGCUGAUAAUUAAUCCUAUUAUGUGAAAUAUUCAUGAGUUAUCACUGAACAUAUGCACUAAAAAGAAAACCUCAGAAAUAUGCAGGGUGAUUAUAAACAGAUGAAAAUGGGGAAAAAAAUGUAGUAUGAAAAUUGUAAAAUUUUUGGCUAUAAGUUUUGACUAAAUAAAUAUGAUUGCAAGGCUUUGAGAGUCAGAAAACCUUAGGAUUAAUCUCUUUAGUGCUCAAAUGAUAAAAAUCAUAAAAGAAAUUCUGCAAGAAUGUAUUGUAUCAUAUAUUAAGAGCCUAUCUCCAGAAUUAUGAUGAAGGCCCAAUUCCAUUGAUGUUAAUCAACUUUGAAUUUAUGUCUAGGAUAUAUAAAUAGAUUGAGUCACAUUAUCUCACUUCAUGGCAAAUAGAAGCAUUAAGUACUUUUCAGAAGGGUGAAUCAUGUAAUGGAUCAUUUUUCAUUAUGAUGGAAUAA